rnacentral:rRNA from 1 species
UACGGAGGGUGCGAGCGUUGUUCGGAAUCACUGGGCGUAAAGCGCGUGUAGGCGGCCCAUUAAGUCUGAUGUGAAAGCCCGGGGCUCACCCCCGGAAGUGCAUUGGAAACUGAUGGACUCGAGUCCCGGAGAGGAGAGUGGAAUUCCUGGUGUAGCGGUGAAAUGCGUAGAUAUCAGGAGGAACACCGGUGGCGAAGGCGGCUCUCUGGACGGUGACUGACGCUGAGACGCGAAAGCCAGGGGAGCGAACGGG